ACUAUUGGAGCGGUUAGUGGCGGACUGGUGAGUAACACGUAAGCAACCUGCCUAUCAGAGGGGAACAACAGUUAGAAAUGACUGCUAAUACCACAUAUGCCUUGAGUAUCGCAUGGUACAAAAGGGAAAGGAGCAAUCCGCUGAUAGAUGGGCUUGCGUCUGAUUAGAUAGUUGGUGUGGUAACGGCAUACCAAGUCGACGAUCAGUAGCCGGACUGAGAGGUUGAACGGCCACAUUGGGACUGAGAUACGGCCCAGACUCCUACGGGAGGCAGCAGUCGGGAAUAUUGCGCAAUGGAGGAAACUCUGACGCAGUGACGCCGCGUGCAGGAAGAAGGUUUCGGAUUGUAAACUGCUUUAGACAGGGAAGAAUAAUGACAGUACCUGUAGAAUAAGCUCCGGCUAACUACGUGCC
rnacentral:rRNA from 1 species